GCACCCCUCUCUCCUCUUCUUCUUCCCAGAGAGGCCACAGGCUAGGGUUCCUGACGGCCGGCCGCCCCCAAUAGCUCAUCCCCGGACUGUUGGCAGAUCGCUCCUAGACUCCACAGCAGCCAUAACAUGGACUCCCCUCGAGCUGAUCCGCACGGCCCCGCUGUUUUUGUAGCUUACUGAUAGAGGAAACGGGGCAGGGUCCGAUGGGGACGACAUGCACUGCAGGAGGCGGACAUAGGAGGCCUGUCUUGCGGAAUCCACGGCGGGCAGCGGCGUUUGGUUGUGCGCCAGUGGGGGCAAGCAAAACGCCGGGAGGGAAGGCGGCCAUGGCGGAAGGUAAGAGGACGAGGGAGAGUGAAGCUUGGAGGAGAGGGCCAGUGGGGAGAACGAGGAAAAGAAGCACCAGCAAAAAUGCAAGAUUGCUCGCGAGAUCAGGGCGCAGUGCUUGUGACCGCCUCCACCUCGCAUUUCAAGUUGAGCGCGGCCCUCCUUGGUCCACGGUUCUUGGUCAGCAGAUGGCAGUGUCUCCACCGCUGCUACUCCAGAGUACAACGAUGUGAGUCUAUCCAUGGUGACCUACCCACGGCUACCGUGCGAGGUCAAGGUCACGACUACAUCUUGGAGAGCAACGGCCGGCGGCCGAUGGCGAGCUCCCUCGCGAAGAAGCGGCCUGGAUAACAAGCAUGUGUGACUGGUUGGCCUUGCAGCUUCCUCUCUCAGAGUACACAAUUUUCAUGCAAGAUAUGGCAUAUGUGUGCACACAUGCAUGGUUUCUCUCCGAUGAACGUGGACACACAUGCUGGAGCUUGGCCCUGCCUCGGCCAUGCUCUUGCCGGGCUAUGCAGCAGCUGAUACGUGCGUGCCUGGUGCAGCAGUUGAUGCGCUUGAAAUUUUUGGUGGCAGUAUAACACGCAAAGACGACCAGCAGCUGGAUCAAGUGCCUUCAACGAUUGAAAUUAGGAGUUCUAUGUAAUGUUGACUCUUCAAAAGAAAAGCAGAACGUUAGAGUCGUCAAGACAGUGAAAACAAAUAUUUUUUAUAGAGUUUCUAAAUAGAAAUAGAAUCUGGAAAUUUGUGUCGUACUUUUACCGCUAGAACUUCAACACCUACUUCUACCUCCAAUGUUUAUUGUUUGCUGCCAAAUACUUCUAACGAUGUCUUGAUUUCUAAAAUUAGGUAGAAUCAUUAGCAGUCAUACUGUACUUUUCAUGCACUUUUACGUACUUUAUGCUAUUGUUUCUAAUCAAUGUUUUGAUGAAAUAUCGAAUAUCAAACUUGAGAGGUGAUGUAAAUGUUCAUUUACCCUUCUUUGCUUUAGCUUCCAUCUGUUGUUUAUAUUCUUUAUUUGCAUCUUAACUUCAGUGAAGUGAUUUGUUUUGCAGAACAUUGUGUGUACACCAGUGACCACGGGCGAUAGAACUGCAGCGGUGCCAAGAUUAAUCUCAGGGCCUGCUUCUGUUUGGUGCCUUGAAGGGUUGUAGCUAAAUUCCUGUAGAUUGUUAUCCCGGAACAUCAUUAGCAUCAGCUUUGGUGAGGUAUGAUUGUUCUGUCGAAGCGAUCUUCUAUCUUAGUGUUUAUUUUACCUCUUUCACUAAAGCCUAUAAAUCUUGAUUCAUUCCGAAAUGUUCCGUUGGCUUCAACUCGUCUCUCUAACUUAUCUUGUGUUACCGAUUUCAUUUGCAACUCAUUUCAGAAUCGCCUGGUUUGUAGGUAGCCUUCAGCAUGGUCUGAGGCGAUUCCUGCGUAGCAACUAGAGAUAAUGGUCCCAGUUUAUAGUGGUAUGUACAUGUAUCGAGUGUGUCCCCUUUUAGUCACGAUUAUCUGUUUAUUUCUGGUUUGCUAUCAGUUCUGUUCAUAGGAAUUAUCGACCUUAUUUUUAUGUCUGGUUUGCUGGUUUUUCAUUUUUUUUUAGCUUAAGUUGUUGCGUUUAUAAAGGAUACCACCAGGUUAUUUGACACCCUGUGUUGCCUGCUAUUGCUAUAUGUAUGGGUUAAUAAGAUGACAUCGAUCAUAGAGUGUAUUUUAUAUAAUGUCAUUUCGAUUAUGGAUAGAUAUAAUGAUCUGAUAGUGAUGUUUAGCCAAUAUGGAUAGAUAUAGUAAUGUUCAUCAUCAACUCCUAAUUCAAACGAAGAGUUGUAGGCUUGGUGUUAUUGUGUAACUAUGUCACCAUUGCCUUACUAAUUCUGUAUGCCCACAGAAAUCUGUAUGAUACUGUGAGUUCAAGUAGUAAUUUUGCACGUAACCCUGCUGCUGUUUUUGGUUCAGAAUACGUUAAGCCAGAAACCAUGCACCAGUCACCUUUGAACUAUACAGAUUCAAACUACUUCCUUGAACAGCUAGCUGUUCAGCAACCAAGUUAUUUUUUAGUAAUUUAUAGGUUUGACAUAGUCUUAAAAGUUUGUUCAAGUCCUAUUUAAAUUUUCAAAUAUCUCUUCUAUCUUCUAUCCUUUCUUUGGAAACUAAGGCAUAGAUCCACAUAAGCAAUACAACUAGAGCUUUUCCACCUAUAUAUUUGUGAUUACUAGCAUCAUUGGAAGAGUUUCUUUAGGCCUGUUUUUGAUUGUAGGAUAGUUGGUAAAACUUUGAAGCCGGCAUCAUUGUUUUUAAAUGAAAACAACUACUAAAGCAGAGUGGUACAAAUACCACUAAUGCAAGUCACGCUAGCUGCGAGGUCUCCUGGGCCAUCAGCCGUUGUUGUGCUGCUGGGUUGUGAACCAUAUUCAUGCAUGGGGCGAUCUAUUGGGCUGGGCACCCGUAUGCACCGGUAACUGCAUUGUGUUGUAUAUGACACAUUUGCUUGAAAUGGUAGUGCUCAUAAGGGAAGGGUGAAGGUAUUUGCAGAGACCAAAAUGUGGAUUAUGGUUACUACACGUAGUUUUUUUUUUUGCGAAAAAUUACACGUAGCUUUGAGGAAUUUAAGAAUUCAAGACAAAGUUGUUUGGACCAGAUGUCUAAUUAUAAUCCUCUUUUUGGCCUUUAUAUUCUCUAAUUUCUGAUAAAGCUAAUAGUGUAUGCUUGGGGGAUUUGCAAUUUUAUUUCGUAUGCUCCCACCUUUGAUUUUAAAAUUUGUUUGGACGGAUCAGAAGUGGAAGGAAAGUAUUGGGAACUGCCCUUUUCUUGAAUCUAAAUUAUCCUGAUAGGAAAUUAUAAGUAAAUCUUCAUCCAGACAGUUGCAUUGUUGCUUUCACUUUAACACAUUGCCCUUUUCUCCGAUAUAAAAGGAGCAUAAAAAAGCUCUUCAGAGUGCCUCAAAAUGGCUAUCUAAUCCAUAUAUGAUGUGAAAGUUAUUCUUUCGCACUUCAUGUAAACUUUGGCUGAUUUUUCUUAGAUACGCUUAUCCCGAAUAAUUGCAUCUGAAGUACACCUUUAUCCCACACAUAUUAGAUGUAUCCGUUAGCAUAUUCUGUCCUUGAAAACUAUUUCACUAUUUUGUAGGGAACUUGCAUCCAGUUCAAGAAACAUGCCAAUUGUUUAGUUAUACAUCUAAUGUGUGUUCGAUCAUUGUUAUGCUGAUAUUUCAGACUAUUACUUUAUUACUCUUCCUAAUAGGGCAUUUGAAGCCACAUGUUUGACACUAAGUGAUAGUGGAUCUUGCAAUUCAGAAAAGUAUGGGCAUGGCAAAAGGGGAAAUUCGGUGGAGCCGGCAAAUUUCUACUUUAGAAAAGCAGAGCUAGAGUAUUGUUAUAUAUAUAUAUGUAUGUAUUUAUGCAAAUACUCCUUUAUGACGUUCCUUUGGUCAUCAUUGUUACUUCUUUUGAUCCAUGUAUCAGUUAUACCCUUUGUGUAACGUGAGAAGCUGUUAGCCUA